GACGAACGCUGGCGGCGUGCCUAAUACAUGCAAGUAGGACGCACAGUCUAUACCGUAGCUUGCUACACCAUAGGCUGUGAGUUGCGAACGGGUGAGUAACGCGUAGGUAACCUGCCUAUUAGAGGGGGAUAACUAUUGGAAACGAUAGCUAAUACCGCAUAACAGUAUGUAACACAUGUUAGAUGCUUGAAAGAUGCAAUUGCAUCGCUAGUAGAUGGACCUGCGUUGUAUUAGCUAGUAGGUAGGGUAAUGGCCUACCUAGGCGACGAUACAUAGCCGACCUGAGAGGGUGGGCGGCCAGACUGAGACUGUGACACGGCCCAGACGGCCACGGGAGGCAGCAGUAGGGAAUCGUCGGCAAGGGGGGGAAAACUGACCGAGCAACGCCGCGGGAGGGAAGAAGGUUGUCGGGUCGUAAAGCUCUGUUGUUAAGGAAGAACGAGUGUGAGAAUGGAAAGUUCAUACUGUGACGGUACCUAAACAGAAAGCGACGGCUAACUACGUG
rnacentral:rRNA from 1 species